GGAUUUCCUCAGAAGAGCUCUUUCAUGACAAAUGUGCGCAUGGAUAAACUAAAGCAUUUUGAAUUGAACAUGGUCCUAGCAAGGAAGUGAAGGACAACUUCAGACUAAUUCUGAUGUGAAGCAAAUGUGAAAAAGGAGGAACUCUAAUAAGAGAGGUUACACCUGUAUAGGCCCUUUUGUUGGAAGUCUCCUCAUAGCUGCACCGGCCAGAGGCAUCUCCCCGCAUCUGCAUYGACUCCUCCAGUCGGUCUUAACGUGACUUUAGGUGAAGUGAUAUAGGAGCUUCACGUGGGAGGUUUAACGAAGAACAUGGUGAAGUUUUGGUCAUCCUUAGCAAAGUGGAGGUCUGUCUGCUCAUUCGUAGCUCUGGCUCUUGAACUAGGAACUGAAAACUCUGUAGGAGAGGUGGGACCCGAGAAAAUAAAAUUAUAUACAUCAUUAGUAUAGAUAUAUUAAUUAGAGAUAGAUAAUGUACUGAAAUGUGGAACUCAGCAAAGGUUUGUAGCUAAAGUAAAAUAAAUUUUUACAUGGUGAUGUUGGAGGGUAAAUAAGAAUACUGUAAAUGUAGAGC